ACCACAGCCUUCAACCAGUCCUCGUCGCCAUGGCCGAGCGCGUUCACCGCGAUCCCCGAGCUCAGGUCCAAAUACUCUCGCCCCUCGGUGUCGUACAAUUUACAACCUUUGCCACUGGUGAGCACCACUGGAGUCCUCGCGUAGGUCUGCAGCAGGACCUUUGCCUCCAUCUCCAUAACCUCGUUGCUCUUCAAAAUCUCUAGUUUUGAGGUGGUAUCGGGUGCUUCCACGUCCACGCUGAGGCAGCCAGUGACCGGUCUCCGGACGUUGAUUAGUCGGACUUCCCUGCCUAAGUUGGGGCUGAAUCGACCGCGGAGAUUGAGAGUCUGAGAAAUGGUGUUUGGGGAAACGUGAAGGGAAGACAUACUGGAGAGGAUGGAGAAGGUGUGGAAUCCCGGGGGCGGCGGCGGAGGAGGCUUGGCCGGGGGAGAGAGGGUAGGAAAUUGGGUCAGAAACUCAGGAUCCCAAUAGGAAAGGGCUAAAUUAGAUUUAAACGCUCAAAACUUAAAAAGUUUUUUUUUUUUACCAGACAUAAGUGCCUUUUAGGAUUUCGAUUAAGACACUAGGCAUUAGGCCACGGCAAGGGGUUUAGAAAUUUAUACCGUUAAAAUUUGAUUUAACGACUACAAACCUUUAAAAGUUAUAAUAAUUUCAGUCAUUUAAAAAAAUUUCAACUUCCCUAAUUUGGUAGAUUAGGAGAAAAGAACCAGAGAGGAUCCCUUCCCUUAGGCCACGUCAACAUUUCUUUAUUUAUCAAUUAAAAAUAUUAUUGUAAAUUUCAAAAUUAAAAUUUAUGUGUUGGUUUCUUAAUUUGUUCUUUAAUUAGUUGAACAAUUUUUUUUUGUUUUUUUUUUUUGAAUUGUUAUUGGCACUCUAAAAAUCUCAAUUCGUACUCCAAAUUUUCUAUAAUUAAAAAGAAAAAUACAUUUAUAAAAAAAAUAAAAUAAAAUUUUGGAAGUACUAAUAGCAUUUUUUUUUUUUUUUAAGUAUUAAGAAGUUGUGGACUCUUUGUUUAGGAAAUUCCAUGUCCAAAAGACACCAAAUUUCAAUUCCCGCAAAGAGAAAGCUAUUUGGGGAAAAUCAACGUGUCCAGAUUUUACAUCAAGUGCACCAACGGCACUAUCGGAAUGACCUACAAAACCGACCCCCAUAACUCGUACAAAGUCGAAGUGUUCAGAUUUCACAAAUGUAUUUGCAUGAUUGCUUAGGCAAAUGAUUAGUAUAGCUACAAUCCCAAAAAUUUUAGCAUUUUCGGCACGCUAAUCGGAUAUAAGGCACUCAAUGCAGGAUGUUGGCAACUCAGCAAUGUGACAUUCCGCUCAGAUUAAGUAUUUUUUUUAUUUGAUAGAAGCAUAGUGUGUUUCAUUAUUAAGAACAACCAAAUACAAGAGGUAAUAGAUGGAUACAAUUUCUUGAUUUGGAGGUAGUUCGCACAAGAUGCAAAGAUUUUAAACCCCUAUACGACUAUCACAAUAAACCAACACAAACAAGAGUCUCGUGUAAAACUGUCAAAAAGAUGGUAGACGUGACAGUCCUAACACCGGUACCCUGACAUAAAGUUAUCAACAACGAAGCCACAUAAAUCACAUAAGCGACACAAUCAGAUCAUAAGAGCAACACAAAACCUACUAAUCUAACCCACUCAAAGUGCUACAAAAAAAAAAAAAAAAUCUUAAAACUUAACUAAAGCCAAACUUAACUAAAGCUGAUGAAAUGUCCAUAAGUGUGUCCACAAGGAAGACAUGAUACAAACAUGGUAGGAGGCGUGGACUGCAGGACCACGUGGGUGUGUGGGUAGCAAGGACAACAGAGGUUGCAGAUCCCACGACACGACAGAGCCACUGUGGACAUCGUCGUCAUCCCUGCCACCAAGAGCCCAAGGUAACCUGCAUAAAAUCUUUAGCACCAACAGCCGCCAAAGGUUUCCGCCGAUUGUGAAAAAAGAUAAGAUUUGUGGACACUAAGGCCACAUGGAUUGCAACACAGCAAAUUGAAGCAACAAUCCUUAUAUUGAAGCAACUAUUUGGGCAAGUGUCACAUCCCCGCCUGGGCCCCCACCACAUCUCGGGCUCAACUCCACUAUAGCACGAUAUUGUCCGCUUUAGGUCCCCGACCACGCCCUCAUGGUUUUGUUCUGGGAACUCACACGAGAACUUCCCAGUUAGUCACCCAUCCUGAGAAUGCUUUUGCGCGAACUCGCUUAACUUCAGAGUUCUUACGGAACUCGAAGCCAAUGAGCUCCCAAAAGGCCUCGUGCUAGGUAGAGAUGGGAAUAUACAUAUAAGGCUUAUAGAAUCCAUUCCCCUAAGCGAUAUGGGAUGUUACAGCAAGUGUGCAUCAAAUUUCCUAUGGCAAUGGCAAAGGCCUCAACUUAGAGGCCAUGUACUUCACCGUAAUGAAAGGCAUUGUGUUGUAAUGCACAAACCCAAAACUAAAGGAUCGAGUUGAAGCUUUCAAAGGGUGUGCCUCAUCAAACACAAUCCAACCGAUAGAAAGCCUCAAUGGCUUCAGAUAUUCGAAUCAAACCACUUACAAAUCAAACCACAUGUUCACCCGAACUACCACCACCGUGAACACGACCAACACGCUCAAUAGUGUAGGAGAUACAAAAUUAGACCAUUAUCGAUAGGAAGGAUAAUAGCCUAACUCCACCCAACUAGAGAGAGGUGUUGAAGUUGAAUACAUAGGGCGGAACAAACAUGAUUACAAAAUAAUAAGAAUAUUAUUAAUAGACAAGAAUACCGAAACGGCUACAAAACCUUAACAGGCUACAUCGUGACUAAUUUGUUAAUCAUACUAAAUUAUAAACUAUAUUUAUAAAAAGCAAAACCUAGAAACCCUAAUUCUGAUGGGCUAAGCCCAUAUACUAAAAACCGUCAAACUCAUAGCGGUAUAGGACAUGGGUUUGCAAACAAGCAGAUGCAGAUUGGCUCCGUUAGGCGGACUAGCAAGCAAGCAAACUUGACUGGAUUGGCAAAUUGAUUCUUGUUGGCAAGCUAAUUCUGGCUAGCAAACUGAUUCUAAUUCAAAUUGGCUAGUGUUAAGAGUAUAGAAAGAACCUAUCACUAAAUGGACGAGAUUUCCAUAUCUCAAUUGUAUCAAUGAAUGAACAAACAUAAACACUAUCACUCUAGUGGUCACAAUUCUAAGCACUUGAAUGACUGUCACAAAACAAUCUCAAACAAGCCAACAACUCAUGUGAGCCUCAAAGACAUCAAACCAAAAAAUGGCUGGCAAACAGCCCACAACCCAUUUUUCCUCUUUACCCGUGUGGGUCGAAACCUCAACAAUUUUUUUUUGUUCUGACAUUUUCCUUUCACCCGUUCCUUUUUUUUUUCUUUCCUUUUUCUUCUUUUCUUUCCUUAACUUCUACAAAGCACAGACUGGUUUGCAGAACAUGGGUCUAUAGGUAGGAGCACCUGCGGAUUUUGUGCCUAAUGGGACAACAACAGGGUGCAGAUCAGAGCGGCGGCAAGGAUGCGUGUACAGGGAGUGCAUCAGUGGAUGGCAAUAUGGGCGAUAGGCGGGUAUGUUGGGCGUGGCGGCGAUGUGGGUACGUUUCUAGGCUUCGGUCAAUAGCAGCGGCAGAUUGCAGAAAAACUAGGCACGACAAGUUUGAAGCGGCGGUUAUUGGCUGGGGUUUCGGGUAUGCAGGGACCUGCAAGUGGUUCCGAGCAAACAUACUCAAUUUUUUUUUUCAAAAACUAAUACUGAAAACUAAUAUCAAACAAACAACAUUGAUACAAGAGCAAAAUAAAUCCCGAAAGAUCAAACCUACUCUGAUAUCAAGUUGAAUAUCAUAGUGCGGAACAAAUAUGACUACAAAAUAAUAAGAAUAUUAUUAAUAGACAAGAAUGUCAAAAUAGCUACAAAAUCUUAAGAGGCCACAUCGUAACUAACUUGUUAUUCAUACUAAACUAUAAGCUAUAUUUAUAGAAAGUAAAACCUAGAAAUCUUAAUUCGGAUGGUAUAAUCCCAUAUAUCAAACUAACUAUAAUCAUAUAAGAUACUAAUUUUUUCCAACAGUUAGACCCGGACAGAGGAAGAAGGAACGGGAUAGGAAGAAGGAAUUGCUGAUUAGUGCAAGUUCUGCAAUCGAUUAAAACUUCAAAUGCAUGUUCCACAUUUUACUCAAACCCAAAAAAUUUAGACGUUUUCCUCAAAUUGUUGUAAACUUACAAUAUAGUUGAGUUUGGCAAAUUUGGGUCAAGAUAUUGAGAGAAAUUUCGUUGUGGCGUAUACUCAUGUGGUGCCUCUUACACGGGCAUAAAAAGUGGGUAUGGGUGAUAUAACAAACAUAUAAAGUCUCGAGUUUGAUCGUUUGGCCAUAGUAACACAUGAUAUGACUGUUCUACGUAAUAUUGCUUUUGAAAUAGUACUUUAAGGGGGUGUUUGUUUCACCUUCUUAAGUGGGACUGGAUUGGCUAGGAUUAUUGUCCCAUGUUUGGUAUGCUUAGGGACUAACUUAAAUGAGACUAGCCCGGACUCGUGUGGACUAUCUCCCUCGUUAGGUCGUCUUUACAAAGCCCCCUGAAAACCACGGGACUGCUAAGACCUGCUUCAUCUCUUUUGCGCCGCUUGGCGUCUUCCCUCUACAAAGACUUUGCUUCGUCUGCGUUGCGUCCUCUCUCCAACGAGAUCACAACACCACACCAAGACCAUUCCCUCGUUUCUAAUUCGAGAGAACUACAGCGAUAUUCUCGAUGACCUGACCAAAUUGCAGUUGCAUAGAGCUCCAACAAUGACUCCUUUGCUGCAAACCUUCGAGGAAGGUCCCGCUCUCGCCGUCGUCCGAUUUGUUUGAGCUCACUUGGGCCCUCGCCGUUAGACAAAAAAAGAUAGCUUGACAUAUUCAAAUUUACCCAGUACUCAAAUCCCCAAAUUCAAUUCAAACAUGCAAAUUUGCAGAAGAAUCUUCAAUUCUUUGAUGAAAAAAAAAGGUGAGAAAAACUCGAAAGAAUCACCUGAAAUUCUAUUAGUUUGAUGAAAAAAAAAAGGUGAGAAAAACUUGGAAGAAUCACCUGAAAUUCUAUUAGUUCGUUUCACUUGAUUCUAAGUUGUGAAUAUUGAUUUGGGAUUGUUGAUGGAGUUGCUUGAGAUUAUAACAUACAUACAUAUAUAUAUAUAUAUAUAUAUAUAUAUAUAUGUAUGUUUGAGAAUUGGGAUAGCAAUUUUAAUUUGUCAUAUUCUAUAUAUGGGUUUGAAUGAAUUAUAUAUUACUAUAUAUCAAAUCGUUGCUCAAAGGCCGUGGUUGCCGUCGAGGUUGCAGACUCAGAUGGGUUUCCUACCAUUCCAUAACCGUGAGAUGACCAGAUGCUCAAAGUUCAUGUAACGUAAUGCAGCAAUGGAUAUCUUCUCGAUCUGGAAAUAUUUGAUUGUGGUUUGCUUGCUGCUGACUACAUUCUGCUUCUAUUGGGUUGAAUUUUUUGUUCUGUGGGGUAUUUGGGUUCUCUUGAUUCAUUGGAAAGAUUCAAUUCUGGGUUGUAAAAUGUAAUAUGAGGUUUUCAAAUUGAUUUUUUGGUCAUGCACAUAUAAGUGAAAGAUUUGAUUUUUCCGGAGUGGUGAUCAUCUAGUUAUGAUUUUUCUGGAAUUUGGAUGUUAGGAUUUGGAUUUGGCAGAAUGUUGAUGUUGUGGUUCAAUUUUUUGGUAUUUGUAUAAAAUUUUGUUGUUAUAUUGCUUCUUAGUCCGACACUGCACCAAACGGUUCACUAAAUUAGUCCAGCUUAGACCUAGUUUGGGAGUGAGGUGCUUAAAAAAAAAGCACCUAUGAAAAAAAGCUGUGAGGGUUUUAGGUGUUUGGUAAACUGAAAAAAAAGGGCUUAUUUUGGAAGCUGCUGUGAGAAUAAGUUGAAAUCAAAAGAAAAAGCUGAAGCUGCUAUUUGUAGCUUUGGAAAACUGGUUUUUUUUCAAAGCACAUGGAGCUACAGUGCUCCUUUAAUGAAAGGACCCACUAUCAGAUUACUUUUUUUUCCAAAAGCUUUUUUACAAAAAAGUUUACCAAACGCUCUGCUGAUUUAUUUCACAGCCGCUUAUUCUCACAGCACAGCCGCUUAUUCUCACAGCAGCUUUUUUUCAAAGCACAGCAAUACCAAACCAGCCCUUAGUCUAGUCUAAACCAAUUCAGUUUAGUCUCUGAAGCUAGUCCAGUCUGAGACAGGCCGGUGCAACAAACGCACCCUAAUUGUUAAUUUUCUACUAGUAUAGUUUAGGACUCAUUAAACUGAGUCAUUUCAUUAUUUUCCGGAACUUUUUAGACUUCAAUGAAUGUUAGUCAGCGUAGGUAGAAGGCCAAGUCCAUAUGUGAAGCCCAUGAGCAGCUUUGUCAGUUGUCACCAUAUAAACACUCAUGAACUUCCAACUCAUUCUGAUUAGCCUUUUGCACUGACGAGGGGAUAAUAAAAAAUGGAAACGGUUAUUAACAUUCUAAAAAUUUCAUUCUACAUUUUUUAUAAGUGUAUUUUUUAUGGGAACUGUUAUUAACAUUCUAAAAAUUUCAUUCUACACUAUUCAUAAGUGUUUUUUUAGGGUAAAUUACAUAGUAGCCCCUCAGGUUUGAGGUCUAUUGCAAUCUUAUACAACAUCUUUAAAACAUUUCACUUUCAUACCUCAUUCAUACAACCGUUAGAUUUUCCAUCAAUGGAUCUGUUAAAUGCUGACGUGGCUGCCACAUAUAUAAUGCGUGGCUGCCAAAUGUCUGUCACGUGGCAAAUAAAAUAUUUUUUUAAUUAAAAAAAAAAAACAUAUCUGCCACUUAUUCUUUCUUCUUAUUCUUCUUCUCUUAUUCUUUCUUCUUAUUCUUCUUCUUCUUCUUCUUCUCUUUCGCUUUCUUCUUCUUCUGGGUUCGGACCCUUUUUUUUUUCGCUUUUUUUUUUUUUUUUUUUCCUUCUUCUUCUUCUCCCUCCUCCUCCUCUUUCUUCUUCUCUUCUUCUUCUUCCUCCUUCUUCUUCUGGGUUCGGUCCCUUUCUUUUUUUUUUUUUUUCUUCUUCUUCCUCAUCCUCCUCCUCUUUCUUCUUCUCUUCUUCUUCUUCCUCCUUUUCUGGGUUCGGUCCCCUUUUUUUUUUCUUCUUCUUCCUCCUCCUCCUCCUCCUCUUUCUUCUUCUUCCUCCUUCUUCUGGGUUCGGACCCCUUUUUUUUUUUUUUUUUUUUUCUUCUUAUUCUUCUUCUUUCUCCUCCCUCCUCUUUCUUCUUCUCUUAUUCUUCUUUCUCCUCCCUCCUCUUUCUUCUUCUCUUCUUCUUCUUACUCCUUCUUCUGGGUUCGGUCCCUUUUUUUUUUCUUUUUUUUUUUCUUCUUCUUCUUCUUCUUCCUCAUCCUCCUCCUCUUUCUUCUUCUCUUCUUCUUCUUCUUCCUCAUUUUUCUGGGUUCGGUCCCUCUUUUUUUUCUUCUUCUUCUUCUUCUUCUUCUUCCUCCUCCUCCUCCUCAUCUUCCUUCUCCUUCCUCCUUCUUCUGGGUUCGGACCCCUUUUUUUUUUUUUCUUUUUUUUUCUUCUUCUUCUUCUUUCUCCUCCCUCCUCUUUCUUCUUCUCUUCUUCUUCUGGGUUCGGUCACUUUCUUUCUUUUUUUUUUCUUCUUCCAAUUUCAGGUUUUAAAAAAAAAAUUAAAAAAAUUAUUUUAUUUGCCACGUGGCAGACAUUUGGCAGCCACGUCAGCAUUUAACAGAUCCAUGAAUGGAAAAUCUAACGGUUGUAUGAAAUUGAAAUAAAAUAGUACUUGAGGUAUGAAAGUGACAUGUUUUCCUAACGCCUUCCCACUUUCAAAUUCAAACAAACUCUCUCUCUCUCUCUCUACAAUACCCUUUUUUCUCUCUCUCAAAUAUAAACAACCUCAACCGCCAUAGCAUCUUUCACACAUCCACCAAAGCAAUGCAGGCGCUUCAAUCUUCCGUCGCCGGAAUCGCCGGGAACCAGAUUGUUCGGCCUAAAAGUGGCCGGACGCCGCUCCAGCCAAAGAAAGCUCCGGUGACUUCGACAAACUCCGAUCUCAAAAUCAAGCCGGUUCACCAAUGGAUUGGCGUUGGCGAUGAUUCAAAUAAGGAGAACCGUCCAAUGUAUGCGACUCCGGUGAAGAUUGAGGCGAUGGACGCGUCUCUGGCAGAGGAGCUGAGCUCGAUCAGGAAGAAGAUGGAGAGGAUGAAAUCGGACAGAGAGAAGACCGAGAAGAUGCUUAAGGAGAGGGAUAUGGUGAUGGAAAUACAGAUGAAGGAGCUCGAAAACAGAGGGCAGAUCCAGAAGAUGCUCGAGACCGAGCUCGAUCGGAUUUACCGAUUGAACCAGCUCCAUGUUCAAUCAAUUGUAAGCUCCGAUUGAACUCAUUCCCUUUUAUGUUCCUUCAAUUUGUAUUUAAUUUUGAGUGUUUUGAAGCAGAAAGUAUCGCCGAUUCGAUCGCUCAGGGAGAAGGAGGAAGAAAAGAAGGCCGAUGAAUCGCCAUCUCAGGUGAAUCACAAUCUCGAUUUUCCUUAAUCUUCGAUCAGAUGUGAAAUUAAUUGUGUUUUAUGUUAAACUUACUUUGAUUAUUUUGUUGAUCAGGAAGUGGAGGUGGAAGCGGAGGAGGAUAUGGAGGAAUCUGUGGAUGAAAACUCACCGCAGAAGCCGGAGAGUUGUGCUGCUUCCAAUUCCGAAAUUGUUACAGAGGAAAAUAAGAAGUGAUAUUUUUCAAGAUUUUUGCUCUGCGAAGUUUAUAUGAUUUUCCUCAAAUUGUAGUGGCAUUUGAAAAUAUUUUGAGAAAGAGAAUAAUAUAAUACCUCAUUAUGUUUCAUGUUCUCAUUUAGUAGUUACAAUACGAGUUUUCAUUGAAAACGAAAUAGUUAUCCAACUGCUUCUAAAUAAUUUGUUUAAAUUUUUCAAACGAAAUACAUGUGUUUGGGCCCAAAAUAGCAGUUUGGGCCGAGGGAGGUAUCACUUUCGGCCCGGGAAGACUACGGCGAGAAAGUCAUGGGGGCUUCAGCUCAUGGGCUUCUAGGCCUAGAUCGGUUAAAUCAGAGUGCAAGUCGAGUCCUAAUACAAUAGGGACCCUCGACGAGAUCAGUAAAACUAGAAGGCGAAUCCGGCUCAGUUAAGGACUAGAUUCGUAGUCCUAGCAGAGGUAGGACUGAUUGAGGUAACGUUAAUCCGGAGAAGGAAACCUAGUUCGAAUAGGAUUAGAACUCGGGCUCGGUGUUCUGCUACUAUAAAUACAAGACAUUCAGCAAUGGAAAAGCCCCACAAAAAUCAAUACAAAAUUGCCCUGCGCAAACUCUCACAACUUGAGAUCUUUUUCUUUUCCUUUUUCGCUGACACAUCUUCCGUUGGCAUCAACAGCACUGUGGAAGCAACCGGUGAUAUCUUAAGUCGGCAUAGAUAGCUCUGUCACCGUAGAGUCGGUCGGUCUCGCAGUAUCUUUCGUUGGCAUCAACAGCACUGCGGCGAGAACGGUCGACUGCCUAUCCAAGUCUCGGUCGAGAAGGGUUUUCGAAUCCUUGUUGGUCGAGGUCAUCUCAUUAGCCUUCUCGGCGAGGUGAGGUGUUACAGUUAUUACAUUCGGCACAUUGUAAGCCGAAUUCGGUUCGUGAACUUCGCAAAUUAGCAGCCUUGUCUUCAGGCUCGAGAGCCCAAGAGGCCGAGAAUUGUUCCUUCCUCGGCCGCAAUCGCAAGACACAGAAGUCAGCAGCGCGCUCAACGCAACAUCAACAAAUUUACUCCUCGGCCGACGAGUUGGCACGCCCCGCAAUCACCGAAGGACGUAGUUAGCUUAGAAUAUAUUCGGCCUGCGCGCCACGUAGGCUUUGUAAUUUCUAGGGUCAACAUUUUGGCACGCCCAGUGGGACCCAGUGCUAAACUACGAAGUUCAUGCCAAUUGAAACACGAUCGGUAAAAAAAAAAAACAGCUAUGGGAAAGUCGACAGCCGAUUUACCGAGUCAGAGCAUAGGACAGAGUGUGCCACAGGCGCAGAAUCCCCUUAGCGUUGGUACACCUGAGUCCACGAGCGCGACUCGCCGAGAGAGAGAACUUAAUCUCGGCGGUCAACUCCGUGGUUUAGAGAUCCCAAACAGAAACACAUGCGUUCUCAAUGAAGGGAUAAUAGAGGAAUGUGAUGAGGAUGGUGGUGAAGGAACAGACCCACCAACGAGGUCGUUCCUCCGAAAGCGACUGGACGAGCAGUCUCGGUCAGUCGAGCAGACGUUCAGUCGAGGCAUUGACAAGCUGCAGGACGCGAUACUCAGUGCCAAUGAUCGGCAAACCAAACUGCUCGAAAUGCUGGUUAGCCAAGUUGGUGGCAGCAGGCCUUUCGAUCUUCGCCAAACUUGCUUACCAGAAAACAACCCGGCACCGAUUGUACCGGCCGGGCCUAUUCUUGCCCCGCUCAAAACAAUUAACUUAGAGAAGGGAGGAGGGUCGAACAGUAGGUCAGACGGGACCGACCAAAGGGUCGAAGCAGCAUCUGUUGAUAUGACCGAAGUUCAGCGGAUGAUCGACUCCGCUAUGAAGAAAGGGCCGAAGUUUCCCAAGUUUAUUCAUCCAUACCCAGCUUACGUGGAGACGUUUGGAUACCCGAAGGGCUUCAAGAUCCCAGAUUUUAGUCUUUUUGCUGGUGAAUCGUCCCUGUCUUCGUUGGAGCACGUGGCUCGUUUCACCGCGCAAUGUGGAGAUGUGAAUAGUGAUUUCCACAAGUUACGGCUGUUCAAUUUUUCAUUGACCGGCUCGGCAUUUGCCUGGUACAUCAAUCUCCCGCCUAAUUCCGUCCAAAACUGGGAGGAGUUGGUCGAGAAGUUCCACGAGCAAUUUUAUCGGCCGGGGAUGGAGAUGUCAGUUUCUUCAUUAGCACGGAUGGCUCAAGCGUCUGAUGAGUCACCAAUGGAUUAUCUUACUAGGUUUUAAAUCGGCUAGGAAUUGGUGCCGAGUGCCCUUACCCGAAGUCGAAUUUGUCAGGCUUGCUUUGAAUGGUCUUGACGUCGAAUACAAAAAGAAAUUCUUGGGGGCAAAUUUUCGGGACAUGUACGAAUUGGCCCAGCAUGUCGAGCAGUACGAUUAUUUGCUCCGCGAGGAAAAGACUUCGAAGACUCCAACUCGGGGAACGAUUUACAAGAACCCUACUGUCAAUUAUGCAUCAACCGAGGAUGAAUGUGUUAGUGUGGAUGCGGCUGAGAUAGUAAUAGAUAAACCAUACAUUUGCAAGGCAUUAACUCAGGUUGAUUCUAGAGAAGCCAAAAGUCGCUCGGCCACUGAAGGAACAUCGAAACCGUCAAAGGUUUAUACUUUUGAUAUUACCAAGGCUGACGCAAUUUUUGACCAACUGUUAUCAGCAAGAAUCAUUAAGCUUCGGCCUGGUCAUAACAUUCAUAAGGCCGAGGAGCUUAAAGGAAAUGUGUAUUGCAAAUACCACAAUUCGAGCAAACACACGACAAACAAUUGCGUCGUAUUUCGUGAUAACGUCCAAAGCUGGAUUGAUAAUGGCAAACUGAAGUUCCCCGAGAAGAGGAUGAGUGUUGAUACUGAUCCGUUCCCCACGACAACAGUAAAUAUGGUCGACGCGUACCUACCCAAGGACAAAGGGAAAGGCAAGGCUGAAGUGGUUGAGACACAACGCCCGCGGAAUCAGGAUGUUCGGCCACGGUUCAUGGCCGAUUCGCGUUCAAAUAAACUAUCUGCGGCCUUAACGGGGCCCGCUAUUGUCAAAUCUUUGACGGAGUAUAGCGCCGAUGAAAAUAGUGGGACAGCGGUUCUGUGCAGGAAAUGUAAAGCGAAGGUCGACAGUGAACCAGAAGAGAAACCUUCUUCGCAACCCGUGGCCGUAACUCGGCAAAAGAUAGCCAAUGAAGACCAACAUCAUGGGGGUUUUUGGGAGGCUCGGUCCUAAAGUACGGAUGGAAGAGACACCCCCGGUCAGGCGGCGCCUCGAUUUUGAUGCUUCAUUUUAUGACGAUGAUUACUAUAAGCGUAAUUCUAGCAGUUCAGGAUCAUCACGGAGUCAAAAGACCUUCAAGCCUCCUGAGCCUAGAGAUCAACGUUGGUAUACGUACCAUUCUUCGAAGGGCGUCUAUACCGCGUUGUCCAAAUCUCAGAAACGCCGGCAUCAACGGAUGGAUUGCAUGGCUCGCCGACAAGCAGCCCAAGAAACUUCGGCCCCUAAGUGGCGACCGAAGGAUACAGUUGCCACUAAUGAAAAGCGACCACCUCCACCAAUUAUGACAGAGUUGGCUCAGGGGAAACGGCUGGUCGGUCAAGACGUCGAGACCAUGUUUGAAGAAGCUGAUAAGCGGAUCAAACUUCUCAUUCGACCAGGGGAAAUGAAGGCACGUGUUGAACAUUUCAGGCAAAAGGCCGAAAGCAAACUAUCCCCGAUAGCUAUACAAGAGCCUUUGGUCAAAAUUCGACGGAAUUUGCACCCCCCGUUCCUUGGGGAGUCUUUGGAAUAUAUGCGAGAAUUUCAUAAGGAACAUUCGGCCAACGAUUUGUAUGGUUUGCCGAAGGCAUGUCAGGACACCAUUGAUCUUGUCUUGGCUUGUCCGGAUGCUGAGCGGAUCAUCCAGAAGACCUCAGAUCCAGGAUUGAAAGCAAGGUUCUAGCACAUACGAGAAGCUCGUGUCUUUGGAUUUGAAGUUGACCCGUAUACCGAUAUCGAUGUCGCUGACCUUCCUUUCUCGCUAGAGGACCUUCAGUAUUUACGGUAUCACUUUGAAGUAUUUUCGGCAGUUUCUCUCUUCGGCCUUACGACCGAUGAAAUCGCCCGUAUUGCCCGUCUUGAUGCUUAUCUCGACACUAGGGAUGCUCGGCUACACUACCAGGAGCAGGUUCAGGACUUGACCCCAAGCUCAUUGUCAAUCUCGACCUUACCUGAGGCGGUCACGCGGAGCCAACAAGUGGCCGAAGCGGCUCCGCCGGGUGACAUUGUUGAAGGGACGGAAGAAUCUCGUUGUCCGACUCUGACGACAACCAAGUCCGUAGUCGCUAACCAACCGAACGAGGAGGGUCUCGACCAGAUGGGCCCGUCCGUCCUGGAUAAUAUGGAAAUUAGUAUGGUUCAUGUAUUACCUGCCGAUUUUCAAUCAAGCACGGCUCGACCAAAUUUCCUCGAUGGAGAUGUGGUUGUCGAGGAACCUGGCCAUGUUGAUUUUAUAUCGAUUGCUGAAGGCGAGUCAACAGCAAGAGAUGAUAGCCUAAAGGCCGCUUUGGCCGAAUUGUUCCCUCGUUUAUCAUCGGCCAAGCUUCACCAUUUAAAGCCAUUGUAUGUAACGGCACACAUCGAGGGAUAUCCGGUUUCUAAGGUUUUUGUCGAUUGUGGAGCUACUGUCAAUAUCAUGCCCCUGAACAUCAUGAAGGCCUUACGCCGUUCCAAUGACGAACUUAUUCCGUCAGGGAUCACAAUGAGCAGUUUUUGUCGGCGACAAGUCCCACACCAAAGGUGUGCUUCCGUUAACUGUGAAUAUUGCCGGUCGCACCCAUAUGACCGCCUUUUUUGUGGUUGAUUCCAAAACCGAGUAUAAUGCAUUGCUCGGCCGAGAUUGGAUUCAUCAAACCAGCUGUAUUCCUUCCUCAUUGUACCAAGUGCUUGUCUUUUGGGACGGCAAAUCGGUCACUGUUCAUCCGGCCGAUAGCCAGCCCUUCGAAGCCAACAUGAUUCAAGCACGGUAUUAUGACGAUCACGUCGGCUAUAUUACGUUGCAAGGCUUCAAUGAAGAAGGACGGCCGACUCGGAUUUCUGUUCAGAAAGCUAUCGAGGUUGGCGCCGAGACUGUCCAGCAGGAUUCGGCGAGACUCGGAUUAGCUAACUUUCUCCCCGAAACCGAUGUUUGACGCCGAUCGGGAAGCACGUAGGGCCGCGGUUUCAUCUACUAUGGAACGACUGCUGGCCCAUUGGUAUACGAUAUCCAAACAACCAAAUUCGGGUGUCAACCUCGUCGAGUUCCUUGCUGAGGGAGAUAAUGGGCCUGUAUUAUCUUUUGAUAAAAUUCGAGCCGCCCCGGCCAAGCUCGAAGAUCAUCGGCCCCUUGUCAAGGACCCUUUGGAAGAGAUUAAUGUUGGGACGGCCGAUGACCCACGACUUUUGUUUAUUAGUGCGUUACUUCCUCAACAAAUGAAGGACGAGUUGCGGGCUUUGCUUACGGAAUUCAAAGAUUGUUUUGCUUGGAGUUAUCAUGAAAUGCCCGACUUAGAUCGUGCUUUGGUCGAGCAUGAAUUACGUAUUAAGCCCGGAUUCAAGCCUUUCCGUCAGCCACCUCGUCGAUUCUCGACCGAAGUACAACUCAGUGUUAAGGACGAAUUAGUUCGGCUUUUGAAAGCCGGGUUCAUUCGGACAGCUCGAUAUGUCGAAUGGUUGGCGAAUAUUGUUCCUGUAUUAAAGAAAAGUGGUGCACUGCGCAUCUGUACCGAUUUUCGCAAUCUGAAUCUGGCAACGCCCAAAGAUGAGUAUACAAUGCCGAUUUCAGAUCUGUUAAUCGAUGCCGCGGCGAAUCAUGCGAUCUUAUCUUUUCUGGAUGGACAUGCCGGAUAUAACCAAAUAUUUUAUUGCCGAAGCCGAUGUGCGCACAAAACUGCUUUCCGGUGCCCGGGGGCACUCGGCACUUACGAAUGGGUUGUCAUGCCAUUCGGCCUCAAGAAUGCCGGCGCCACGUACCAACGGGCGAUGAACACCAUCUUCCAUGAUUUAAUUGGCACCAUCGUCGAAGUUUAUAUCGACGAUGUUGUCGUCAAAUCUAAACGCCGACAGACACAUUUGGACGAUCUCCGACAGGCUUUUCUCCGUAUGCGUCAGCACAACCUCAAGAUGAAUCCUGCCAAGUGUGCCUUCGGUGUAUCGGCCGGGAAUUUUCUUGGUUUCCUCGUACAUCAUCGUGGGAUUGAAGUCGAUGAGAACAAGGCACGCGCAAUCAUCACCGCCCCACCCCCAACAACGAAGAAACAAUUACAGUCCUUUACUCGGCCAGAUCAAUUUUUUACGCCGAUUUAUUGCUAAUUCGGCAGGUAAAAUGAAAGCCUUUUCCACACUUUUGAAGCUCAAGGACUCCGAUAAGUUCAUGUGGAAUGAGGAGCACCAGGCGGCGUUCACACAGAUCAAGGUUUCCCUUACAAACCCACCUGUCCUGGUCCCUCCUCAGCGCGGUAAGCCUCUCAAGCUGUACAUUUCGGCGGCCGCCGAGUCCAUCGGUUGCCUCCUCGCGCAAGACAAUGAUGCCGGCCGGGAACAGGCUAUCUUCUACCUCAGCCGUAAUCUGAGUCCUCCGGAGAUCAAUUAUUCCGCCGUUGAGAAGCUCUGUCUCGCCGUGUUCUUCGCUGCAUCCAAGCUUAGGCAUUACAUGCUCCCGUCGGUCACCCAAGUCAUUGCCCAGACCGACGUUAUCCGGUACAUGCUUACCCGGCCAAUUGUGAAGGGCCGAAUUGGGAAAUGGACGAUGGCGUUGUCCGAGUUUAGUUUGCAAUACGUGCCGCAAAAAGCUGUGAAGGGACAGGCGUUGGCCGAUUUCCUUGCCCAGCACCCUUCGCCUUAUGAUUUCGGGGGUGCUGAUGUUGAGAUUGGCAUGGUGGUGACCCGCGACAACUAUUGGACGAUGUAUUUCGAUGGUUCCAGUACUUCGUCCUCGGCCGGUGCAGGCAUCGUCAUUCAGUCUCCUCACAACGAUCGUUGGUAUUUUUCGCUCAAAUUGGAUUUUGACUGUACCAAUAAUCAGGCCGAGUACGAGGCUCUGUUCAUUGGUCUAGGCCUCCUUCUUGACCUACAUGCCACUCGUGUCCUCGUCCUCGGGGAUUCUGAACUAGUAAUUAACCAAAUUAAUGGGUCUUUUCGCUGCAUGAGUUGUACUCUGGCGCCUUACCACAUGAUCGCCAGCUAUUUGGCCGAGUCCUUUGACGGCAUUACAUUCGAGCAUAUUUCUCAGGUUCAUAAUACCGACGCAGACGAGUUGGCUCAAAUCGCCUCCGGUGCACAACUCCUGGGGGGCAAGCUAGGCCGGGAGAUACCAAUAUUACAACAAUUAUACCCGGCCUUGGUUGAUCAGCAAAUCCUCCGUCGAGACAAUGUGAUAUGCACCAGGGUCAUGUCCUUGCCUUCGUUGUUGGAUCGGCAGGACCAGGACUCUAUAGAAAUUUGCGCGGCCGAGGCAGUACCAGAUGAUUGGAGAAAGCCCAUUAUGCAGUACCUUGACAAUCCUAACGGAAAACACAGUCGCAGGACACGGGCUCACGCCACGAACUAUGUCACGUACCAGAGCGAGUUGUACCGAAAGGGCGAAGAUGGUUUGUUAUUGCUAUGCCUCGGCCCUCAAGAGAGUGCUCGAGCGAUCGCAGAGGUUCAUGAAGGGGUAUGCGGAGCUCACCAGUCUGGACGAAAAAUGCGAUGGCUACUCCGACGACACGGUUAUUUUUGGCCGAGAAUACUGAAAGAUUGUAUCGAGUUUGCACGAGGAUGCGUGCAGUGCCAAAUCCAUGGGCCUAUACAAAGGGUCCCGGCCGAAUCGCUACAUUCGGUCAUUAAGCCGUGGCCGUUUAGAGGAUGGGCCAUGGACGUAAUCGGGCAAAAUCACGCCGACUUCUGGAGCUGCUAAGCAUGCAUGGAUAAUAGUCGCAACUGAUUACUUUACUAAGUGGGUCGAAGCAAAAUCAUAUGCCGAAUUAACGUCUAAAGAAGUUUGCGAUUUCGUGGAGGAACACAUUGUGACCCGGUUCGGUGUGCCAGAAACGAUCAUAACCGACAAUGGAACAAUCUUCACAGCCGAAAGGUUUAAGGAAUACACGGCCAAUUUGAAAAUUCGGCUGGAACAGUCCACACCGUAUUAUCCACAGGCGAAUGGGCAGGCCGAGGCAAGUAAUAAAGUGUUGAUUGGCAUCCUCGAAAAAAUAAUAAAAGAGAGGCCUGGCAUGUGGCAUUUGAAGUUGAACGAGGCAUUAUGGGCAUACCGAACGUCGUCCCGAUCGGCGACUGCAACAACCCCGUACGCAUUUACUUACGGACACGAUGCGGUGCUACCAGUCGAGUUGAGCAUAAAUUCGUUGCGAUUAAUUGAACAAAGUAGUUUGUUUAGCGCCGAAUAUAAUCAGUCCAUGAGACAGGAACUAGAAGAUUUGGAAGAAGCGCGACUUGACGCUUAUAACUUACUGGUGGCACAGAAACAGAUUGCCGAGCGAGCCUAUAACCAAAAGGUACGACAGAAAACGUUCGGCGAGGGUGAAUUGGUGUGGCAAACGGUGUUGCCCGUAGGAAUAAAAGAUCCUAGGUUCGGCAAGUGGUCGCCGAAUUGGGAAGGGCCGUUCAUUGUGCAUAAGGUAUACGGUAAAUGGGCGUAUCAUCUUAAAGACCGGACUGGAGUAGUUCACAAAUUACCAAUUAAUGGGAAGUUCUUUGAAGAAAUACUAUCCGGUCACAUGGGAAAUGCGUGAAUAAAAAGUUUGUUGUAGGAAAAGUCAUUCCAUUAAAAUUGACAGGUAUUACAAAAAUGAGUAGGUCUAAUACAUUCAAGGAGACGAGGGAAGAAGAGUGCUGAGCAGAGCUUUCAAUUCCAACCACCGCACGUCGGCCAUGAUGACUUCGGCUUGCCGAUUCUUUUUGUCUAGCCUCAGGCGCUCGACCCGUUUUUUGGCCGCCGCAUACUCAGUUAGGCGAUCCUUCCCGCCUGACUCGAAGUCCCUCGCAAGUUCAGAAGCAAUGACCGACCGGCGUUUUGUUAGUUCGGCCAUCUGACGGUCGAGCUCGGCUAACGCUUCUCCUUUUGCCCGUAGAUCGUCAAACUUCGGACGGAGGGUGUCUUGAACGGCCGUGGCGGCUUGCAGGUCCUGUUCGGCCUUCAGAGCAGUCUGGAAGAUGCCAAAUGUCUCCCGAACGCGCUCCAAAGCAGACGAUGCCCGAACAAUGGCAUCUCCGCUUAGGCGACCGUCGGCCCCAAGGUCGUUCAGACACACGCCGAGCAGAUCAAGACCGUUGCGCUCAAGUACUUGCGAUGAAGAGAGCGACAGGACUUCUCGCAACUGGGUUAGGGCGCUUGGAUCGGCAGCCUCAGUUGGAGCGGCCGAAGGGCCGGACUCUGCAGUCGUACUGGAGAGGAGAGCUUUGAAUUCAACCUCCCAUGAAGCCUGCACGAAUAAACAAGGUUAAGCUUAAAGGAAGUCAUGACAAGAAUAGCAAGAAGGUGUCGUUUUUUAACCUGCUGAGAGGGAGACCUCGGCCAUGUCCCCAGGGUCGUUGCUCGAACCUAAAGAACUCAAUGGCCGAGCCCAGUGUCUCAGAUUGCUUCUCACUUCACGAGGCCGAUGGAGGUUAUCUACGUUUGAUGGCCACUGAGGCGGCCAGGAAAUAUAGAUAACGCCCUUCGGCGCAUAGAAUUGACGGUGAAAAGAAUGUACAGGCACCUGACAUUUAGUUUUUCCUUGUUUAGAAUUCUAAAGCAGAAAAGCAAUCAGGAGGAAAAUUGAAGGUACUUACAAAAGCCGAGGUAACCUCUUGUGGAGGGAUGUGGAAGCCUUGGUCUUGAGGAUGGAUCGGCGAUUCCGCCGUGGCCUCGGGUUCCUCGAGCAGGCGUUUGCCACGGUCGGCUGCCGAUGGGCCGAUUGGCGCCAGCUGCUUCAGUGGAGGCAGGGACGUCCUGGUCUUGAGAAGGAACGAGAGGUUCGGCCGCCGGGGUCGGUUCCUCGACCGUGCGCUUGCCACGAUUAGCCGAGGAGGGGCCGGGUUGAACCGCCAUCUCAGAUACUGGAGGAGUUUGUUGACGAGUAGGAGGACGACGCGCCAGCGGGACCUCGUCGCUCCCCUCACUCUCUUCCAGCACGAAGACCGUGGGCUUUGGAUUCUUGGGAGAGGUUUCCUCGGUCGUAGGAACCGCCUGGUGUGAGACAGGUGCCUUCUCGACAGAGGGAGGUACGACUGAUUCGCCGGCCACAGAAGCAGGCCGCGCUGGGAUCGUCUCUAUGGCCGAAGCCGGCUGUUUCUUGACCCCAGAAUGGCCGGCGGCGGGAGAAGGGGAAACACUGGGAGUCGUCGUGUGGCUGGAAAUAACGUGGAUCUCUCCGUGCACCUUUCUUCGCCAGUUGCUUGACCCGCUUGGCAGGCGGGGAAGGCUCGAUAGCCGGCCCGGCCUCUUGGCGAGGCCGUUUGGUCAGCCCGGCCCUACCAGCAGGUUUGUCCUUUUUGGCCACGACCGAUUUUUUUCCCGGCCAUAGCAGCGGCAACUACAUCUGUCUUUCUCAAAGGCCGACUACCUAAAAGGAUAAAGACAAUUCAGUAAGGCGUACAAUAGGCAAUAGAAGGUUGAAGAAAAAGGGGGAAUUGAACAACUACCUUGAGAAUGGGGGGCCGGGGCUUUCUUAGGUCGGUUACCGAAGAGCCUGCUUAGUACAUCCUCGACCGGCGCACCGAAGAACUCUUGAGUGUAAUUUUCCCACCACUCACCGAAGGUGUCAGUGCAAUGGGUUUCUGGGGUGGCCGGUCGUAGGCGAAAUCUUUGGCAGUACUCUUGAAACUCCUUCGCGGCNNNNNNNNNNNNNNNNNNNNNNNNNNNNNNNNNNNNNNNNNNNNNNNNNNNNNNNNNNNNNNNNNNNNNNNNNNNNNNNNNNNNNNNNNNNNNNNNNNNNNNNNNNNNNNNNNNNNNNNNNNNNNNNNNNNNNNNNNNNNNNNNNNNNNNNNNNNNNNNNNNNNNNNNNNNNNNNNNNNNNNNNNNNNNNNNNNNNNNNNNNNNNNNNNNNNNNNNNNNNNNNNNNNNNNNNNNNNNNNNNNNNNNNNNNNNNNNNNNNNNNNNNNNNNNNNNNNNNNNNNNNNNNNNNNNNNNNNNNNNNNNNNNNNNNNNNNNNNNNNNNNNNNNNNNNNNNNNNNNNNNNNNNNNNNNNNNNNNNNNNNNNNNNNNNNNNNNNNNNNNNNNNNNNNNNNNNNNNNNNNNNNNNNNNNNNNNNNNNNNNNNNNNNNNNNNNNNNNNNNNNNNNNNNNNNNNNNNNNNNNNNNNNNNNNNNNNNNNNNNNNNNNNNNNNNNNNNNNNNNCAGUCAUCAAUGCAGCUCCGAUGGGAAGUCCUCCAGCAAGUGGCUUAGCCAGUGUCAUGAUAUCUGGGAAUACACCGUAAGCCUCAUGCGCCCAGAGAUGGCCAGUUCGACCUAAUCCACAUUGAAUCUAAUACAAGAUAAUCAGACGCAUCAUGCGAGAAUUCAUAUUUCAUGUUGGAAAAGGGGAAAUACAACACAUUUACUAGUGAAAUUUUCAAUGUGACGAUGGGUCGAGGUCAUAACGACCAUUAUCCAAGGGAUCAAUGAAACCAAAUCAUCCAGUGCAAUUUACCAACCUAACCAAACCAAGUCAGAACCAUUUUGCAUAAACCAUAAAACUAUAGUGUGCUAAUGUUAACAAGAGAAGCCAGCACAAAAACACCAUCUAGUUUGUUCAAAUAGCUGCUGCUUACCUCGUCAAAUACCAGAAGAGCACCGGCAUCAUCACAAGCAGUACGGAGAAACUGCAGAAACUCCUUUGAAGCACUGUAAAUUCCCCCUUCACCCUGAAUCGGCUCAACGAAAACAGCGGCAGUCUUUCCAGGCUGAAUCAGUUCUUUGGUAGCCUGUAUAUUUCCAUACUCCACAAACGUGACUCCAGGCAUGACAGGCUCAAAAGGGGACCUGUAAUGCUCUUUGCUAGUCAAGGCAAGAGCGCCCAUGGUCCUCCCAUGGAAGCUGUUUGUGAAAGAUAUAUGAAGCUCGUGGCCGGCUCUUUCGCAUCAGAGUGAGCAUGUCUCUGAAACUUCCUUGCAAAUUUAAUGGCUGCUUCGUUCGCUUCGGUUCCGGAAUUCGUGAAAAACACACGGUCUGCAAAACUAGCACCCACCAGACGCUUUGCCAGCUCCACCUACAACACACCAACCAAUUCCCAUAAGUCCAUAAUCAGAGUUAACGACGCCGUUUAGACGCAAAAUGCAAUCUUUCACAUUUUUCCUACACUUUCUCGGCAACCAAGCGAUACCCACAAGUCCAAAACCAUACUAACGACGCCGUUCAUGCACAAAAUGCAAUCUUUUACAAUUUUCCCACACUUUCUCGGCAACCAAACAAGCAAUAGAAUCCAAGUUGAUAAAGGGCAAACCUGAGGGAUCGAAUAGUAGAGAUUGCUGACGUGAGUGAGGGUUCCGGCCUGAUCAACCACAGCCUUCAACCAGUCCUCGUCGCCAUGGCCGAGCGCGUUCACCGCGAUCCCCGAGCUCAGGUCCAAAUACUCUCGCCCCUCGGUGUCGUACAAUUUACAACCUUUGCCACUGGUGAGCACCACUGGAGUCCUCGCGUAGGUCUGCAGCAGGACCUUUGCCUCCAUCUCCAUAACCUCGUUGCUCUUCAAAAUCUCUAGUUUUGAGGUGGUAUCGGGUGCUUCCACGUCCACGCUGAGGCAGCCAGUGACCGGUCUCCGGACGUUGAUUAGUCGGACUUCCCUGCC
rnacentral:lncRNA from 1 species